UCCUCUUCAACAUCUUCACUAGGACCUUCAGACUCCUCUGUUUCCUGGUGUUUUCUCUUCAAAUUCUGUGUUUGUUCAUCUGAAACUCUCUCCACACUAUUCCCUGAGCAAACAGAAGAAGAAGCAACUAGAGGCUCUGCAGUCUUCUCACCAUCUACCAAUCCUUGAGUUGCACUUUCAGCGAGUUGGCAAUGGUUUUUAUCGUUCUUAGAAUCUUCUUGGUCCAAAGCCUCAGGUUGCUUUGCAGGAAGGGAUUCCUCAGCAGGCUUAGGGUCC
rnacentral:misc_RNA from 1 species